GUUUUCAGUAUCGUCUACAUGUAAAUAUGUAAAUAUGUAGAUCAACGCUCUCAGCACUGAGGGGGAAACACCAUGAUAUGUUGAGGACAGCUACAGCUCACUGACUCUGUGUGUUUGCAUAUGUGUCCUGCCUCUCUGCUCCCAGCCGUUAAGAGGCCAGUGUUGAUCAGUGGCUGUCCAGGCCUUUCAGAGCCACUGACACGCCGGCAGCACAAUGAUGAUGUCACUGAUUCUACUGCUGGCCACCCUGGGGCUCCUUGUUCAGGAUUCAUCAGGAGAAAUCAUCCUGACUCAGUCUCCUGGAGCUCAGUCUGUUGUUCCAGGACAGACUGUCUCUCUCAGAUGUAAAGCCAGUUCAAGUAUGAGUAACUACCUUCACUGGUACCUUCAGAAACCUGGAGAAUCUCCUCAACUUUUGAUUCGUUAUGCUACAACCCGUCAGUCUGGAGUUUCAGAUCGUUUCAGUGGGAGUCAGUCUGGAACUGACUUCACUUUGACCAUCAGUGGAGUCCAGACUGAAGAUGCAGGAGAUUAUUACUGUCACCAGGGUGGUCAAAGCUUCCCAUUCAUACAGUGAUACAACGUCGUACAAAAACCUCCCUCAGCUGGAGAGGAACUGAUCUGAAUCACCAGCUGCACAGAAACCAUAACACUAGAUAUUUC